rnacentral:rRNA from 1 species
AUUGAACGCUGGCGGCAUGGCUAAAACAUGCAAGUCGAACGAGAAGCCACUUCGGUGGUGGACAGUGGCGAAAGGGCGAGGAAUAUAUACCUUACGUGCCUUCGGGUGCGGGAUAGCUCGGGGAAACCCGUGGUAAUACCGCAUGAUCCGGCAACGGCAAAGAUUUAUCGCCCGAAGAUCGGGGUAUAUCCUAUCAGGUUGUUGGUGAGGUAAAGGCUCACCAAGCCUAAGACGGGUAGCGGGUGUGAGAGCACGGCCCGCCGCAUCGGGACUGAGACACUGCCCGG